AAAUGGGGACCGAGUUGGCGGUCACGUGAAUAGAAAAAAGAAUAUAUCACAGUUUUGGGCAAUUGCGCGUUCUACUCUUUUUUAUUUCUGUGGGUCGGCAACAUUCCAGUAUCUUCCAUUGAUUGUUUCACUUAAUGUUAUUUAUAUUACUGGGCGGGUUAUAGCAAUACCUAAAUUUUAUUGUGCGUCACAAUGUGUUUAUAUUUACAAUAUUAACGAUCCAGAAAAUUGGUUGACAAGGUUAUGUAAGUAUUUAUUAAUUUUGUUUAAUAUAUUUUAAGAAAUCGGCCUAGUUAGUUUGUUCCCCAAUUUCAAACCAAUUAUUAGCUCUAUGCUGCCAAAUGUGGUGCACGUACAAUUUACCCACAAUUCAGAUAUCUCGAAAAGGUUGUGUCAGUUUCUUCCAUUAUUUAAUCCAUUUUAAUCUGCUUUGGUUAUUUAUAUUACAGCACAUGUUGUGGAAAUAAUUAAAAUAUAUUGUAUUGUGCGUUAUAAUAUAUUUGUAGAUAUGAUAUAACUUACAAUCCAGAAGACUGUUUGGGAAAUUUCUAAUCUAGAUACGGCAUUAUCAAGAACAAAGGAUCAAAAUUCCAAUGGGGGAGCACGUAUUAAGCUAAUUAGCAUAGUACCCUAGCCUAUUUACUACGACGGUCGACUGAGCUCGAUCGAAAACAAACCAGAAGUAACAAACAAAGCGAGUUUCAAUCAUUAAUUAGACGUUUUUAUACCUUUAUGGUUUAUAAGCCUAAGCUUAGGCAGAAUUAAUAUAUCGAAUACACUCGAUUAAUCAAUGUACAUUUCAAUGCUAACAGCGGGCAAUUCUGCCAAGAACAGUUUACAUCGUGAAAUGAGGUUGGUAUUUACUACUCAGCACUGUAGAGAUUGAAUAUUGAACUUCGGAUUAUUCAAUGACCAUUAUUGGUUGUGUUUAUAGCGAGCAAACUCAAGAAAAACAUAGAAGCUGAAGAGGUGGUUUUCUACACAUAGCAACAAGGAAUCGAACAUGUGUUAGUUAUUUCUCAAAC